CGAGCCUCGACUAACCACUGCU
rnacentral:miRNA from 1 species